UGGGGAAUAUUGGGCAAUGGGCGAAAGCCUGACCCAGCAACGCCGCGUGAAGGAAGAAGGUUUUCGGAUUGUAAACUUCUGUCCUCAGGGAAGAAAAAAAUGACGGUACCUGAGGAGGAAGCCCCGGCUAACUACGUGCCAGCAGCCGCGGUAAUACGUAGGGGGCAAGCGUUGUCCGGAAUGACUGGGCGUAAAGGGCGCGUAGACGGCUGUCUAAGUCUGGAGUGAAAGUCCUGCUUUCAAGGUGGGAAUUGCUUUGGAGACUGGAUGGCUUGAGUGCGGAAGAGGUAAGUGGAAUUCCCAGUGUAGCGGUGAAAUGCGUAGAGAUUGGGAAGAACACCAGUGGCGAAGGCGACUUACUGGGCCGUAACUGACGUCGAUGUGCGAAAGCGUGGGGAGCGAACA
rnacentral:rRNA from 1 species